GAUGAACGCUAGCGACAGGCUUAACACAUGCAAGUCGAGGGGCAGCAUGGUAGGUAGCAAUACUUAUUGAUGGCGACCGGCGCACGGGUGAGUAACGCGUAUGCAACUUACCUAUCAGAGGGGGAUAGCCCGGCGAAAGUCGGAUUAAUACUCCAUAAAACAGGGAUCCCGCAUGGGAAUAUUUGUUAAAGAUUUUCGCUGAUAGAUAGGCAUGCGUUCCAUUAGGCAGUUGGCGGGGUAACGGCCCACCAAACCGACGAUGGAUAGGGGUUCUGAGAGGAAGGUCCCCCACAUUGGUACUGAGACACGGACCAA
rnacentral:rRNA from 1 species